GACGAACGCUGGCGGCGUGCUUAACACAUGCAAGUCGAACGGAAAGGCCCUUCGGGGUACUCGAGUGGCGAACGGGUGAGUAACACGUGGGUGAUCUGCCCUGCACUUUGGGAUAAGCCUGGGAAACUGGGUCUAAUACCGAAUAGGACCACGCGCUUCAUGGUGUGUGGUGGAAAGCUUUUGCGGUGUUGGAUGGGCCCGCGGCCUAUCAGCUUGUUGGUGGGGUAAUGGCCUACCAAGGCGACGACGGGUAGCCGGCCUGAGAGGGUGACCGGCCACACUGGGACUGAGAUACGGCCCAGACUCCUACGGGAGGCAGCAGUGGGGAAUAUUGCACAAUGGGCGCAAGCCUGAUGCAGCGACGCCGCGUGAGGGAUGACGGCCUUCGGGUUGUAAACCUCUUUCAAUAGGGACGAAGCGCAAGUGACGGUACCUAUAGAAGAAGCACCGGCCAACUACGUG
rnacentral:rRNA from 1 species